AGUGCUGUAUCUGUACCCGAAUAGAAAUAAAAGAUUUUAAUGACACAGUUUUCUUCCGCUCUGAAAGUGAACGAAUUACAAAACAGUCUAGAGAAUUCCUCGCCCUGCUGCAGAAGAUCAAUCCUGGGUUGUGCUCACCAAAGCAAACCUCUUUUUUUGUGUAUUCAGUGUCUUAACUAUGUAAAAGACAACUAUAACAGGUGUACAGUGCUGUUUCUGAAAUUGACGAAUCCUCUUGUGAUGAAGAUUGAAGAAGCUAUUGCCAUCCAAGUGGAAAAAGUCCCGCCUCUGUCACCCUCCUCGAAUAGAACUAAGAAAAUGUGGAGACUUUCUUCAUUUAGUUCCAAAUCAAGUGGACCAGAUGUUGAUUUGUUUGAAAUGGACUGAGACUUGUGUUUCAUAUGCCAGGUUGAACAGACGUUAGAAACGAAAAAGGAUAGUCUGAUUCAAAGAAAAGAUAAUAGUUUCUUCGUCGAUUUCGCAACAUACUAUCUGUGGACAUCUACAGAAAUCGUCAGGAUCUGUGCAACAUCGAUGUUAAUCCUGAUUCGCACAUGAACAAGUGCCCUGUUCUUAACCCUGAGAGUCUCGGAAAAUAUCUCUAUAGCAAGCUAGGUAGAUAUCACAAAACAUGUCGUUUGAGGUACAGCAACUCGAGGGUGAAACAAUUGAAGGGUAAAUUAUCUGAAGCUGUAAGUUUAAAACCUGUCUCUAAGGCAGGUUUUAAAAUGGAAAGACACGUGUCCACGCACGACAACACCAAUGCUGCAUUAAUGAGUGCAGGUAUUGAUACGGGCCUUUUAACUGGAGCAGGAGAAUGUUUUACCAGAACUGUACCUCGUGUCUGACCUGAAGCUUAAGUACAAUGACUAUGUGACGUCUAAUUUAUCUGAGAACGCUGCAAACUCCAGCAAUGUUUAAUCUGAUCACAUCAGUUUUCAGAAAGACAAUGUCGGUAAGACGAGUUUGUUUCGACAGCAGGAUCGUAUCUAAUUUAGCCGCAACAAUAGAUGCGGAUAGAGAUGAUAACACUUUAACAAAGACAGCACUCUUAAAGGAGAUUAGAAAAGAAAUCUUUCAAUGUAGAAACGAAUUCUAUCAGAAGAUUUAUCUUCAAAAACAUGUUCGAUUUACUGAUCGGACUGUAGAAAUAUAGUGUUUAUGUGGAUUAAUCUGUUAAAGCAGGGCUAUUGUAUCAUUUUAACAUUAACUUUGCAU